rnacentral:rRNA from 1 species
UCCUACGGGAGGCAGCAGUGGGGAAUAUUGGACAAUGGGCGCAAGCCUGAUCCAGCCAUGCCGCGUGAGUGAUGAAGGCCCUAGGGUUGUAAAGCUCUUUUGUGCGGGAAGAUAAUGACGGUACCGCAAGAAUAAGCCCCGGCUAACUUCGUGCCAGCAGCCGCGGUAAUACGAAGGGGGCUAGCGUUGCUCGGAAUCACUGGGCGUAAAGGGUGCGUAGGCGGGUCUUUAAGUCAGAGGUGAAAUCCUGGAGCUCAACUCCAGAACUGCCUUUGAUACUGAGGAUCUUGAGUUCGGGAGAGGUGAGUGGAACUGCGAGUGUAGAGGUGAAAUUCGUAGAUAUUCGCAAGAACACCAGUGGCGAAGGCGGCUCACUGGCCCGAUACUGACGCUGAGGCACGAAAGCGUGGGGAGCAAACAGGACUAGAUACCCUGGUAGUCCACGCCGUAAACGAUGAAUGCCAGCCGUUAGUGGGUUUACUCACUAGUGGCGCAGCUAACGCUUUAAGCAUUCCGCCUGGGGAGUACGGUCGCAAGAUUAAAACUCAAAUGAAUUGACGG